GGAAGGAGUUACCCUUAGCUGGUGACUUCAGGGCCUGGCGACAGACGCAGAGGGACGUUAACCACCAACUCAGCUUAAGAGGAAGCCAAGAAUGAAGGUUUUCCAUCUCCCAGCCUAGAGUGAACUGAGAUGGUCUCAGCUGUGAGGAAGAGAUCGCCAAGGAAGAGAUCUCCGUUGGAGAUCAUGUUGACAUGCCAAGGGGAGAAAGAGCCUGGGGAAGAUUUCCCUACAGCAGGGAUGGCAAGGACAUUUGGGCAGCAAUGCCUAAUAUUGAAUAACAGGUUCAUAUUUUUUUUUCUUUUUAAAGACCUUAUUUAUUUAUUUGACAGAGAGACACAGCGAGAGAGGGAACGCAAGCUGGGGGAGUGGGAAAGGGAGAAGCAGGCUUCCUGCCGAGCAGGGAGCCCCAUACAGGCCUCCAUCCCAGGAUGCUGGGAUCAUGACCUGAGCCGAAGGCAGACGCUUAACAACUGAGCCACUCAGGUGCCCAAGAAGUUCAUUCCUGUGUUGCACUUGCUGUACUGACCCUUCUUGGUCCCAGAUCAUUCUUAAAAGUCCGCCACAUAUAACAGCUUUGUGUGGUGGUGCUUUGGUUAAUAAAGGAGAGCUGGUGGCCCCAUGUGGUGGAGCAGAGCUGCGUAGAAAAAAAGUGUUGCUGUUGGAAGUGAGACAGGGAAUGUGGAUCGAGAAUUCCAUCCAAGGGUGACAAUGAGAGCAUAAGCCCUCUAGGAAUCCUCAACAUCUUAGGAAUAGCACCAGACUUACAAUGCAGGAUGGGAAGGGUCAUCUCAGUAGGCAUGCUUUCAGCCUCAAGAUGAAGAAUGCCUGAGUAAAUGUGGCCCAGCCAGAGGAAUUGCUUUUUCUCCCAUAACAAGAAGAGUCAGUGCGUUCAUUGUGUCAGAACUCUAGGAGGUGUCCUGUAAUUUUCUUGGCUUUUCUCUCAUGGUUGCAAAAUGGCUACAACAGCAACAACCAUUAUUUCUAUCUACAACCUCAGUUAAAACAUGUUGUGGAGCUCUUCCCCUAAGCGGCCUGAGGUGACCUCUGAAAAUGGUUCGCUAUUCGCUUGACCCAGAAAACCCUACAAAAUCAUGUAAAUCAAGGGUUCAAAUCUUCGUGUUCACUUUAAGAACACACGUGAAACUGCCCAGGCCAUCAAGGGUCUGCAUAUGCGAAAAGCCCGCAACUAUCUGAAAGACGUCACUUUGCAGAAGCCGUAUGUGCCAUUCUGUCACUACAAUGGUGGAGCUGGUAGGUGUGCCCAGGCCAAACAGUGGGGCUGGACACAGGGUCGGUGGCCCAAGAAGAGUGCUGAAUUUUUACUGCACAUGCUUAAAAAUGCAGAGAGUAAUGCUGAACUUAAGGGUUUAGAUGUUGAUUCUCUGGUCAUGGAGCACAUCCAGGUGAAUAAAGCCCCCAAGAUGCGGCGUAGAACGUACGGGGCUCAUGGUUGGAUUAACCGAUACAUGAGCUCUCCCUGCCACAUCGAGAUGGUCCUUACUGAAAAAGAGCAGAUUGUUCCUAAACCAGAAGAAGAGGUUGCACAGAAGAAAAAGAUAUCCCAGAAGAAACUGAAGAAACAAAAACUUAUGGCCUGGGAGUAAAUUCUGCAGAAUAAAUGCAAAUAAAAAUAAAAAGAGAGAGAAAAAAAAACCAUGUUGUGGAGGUGGCUUUCUCCCAUUUGCUUCCUCUGAACAGUGAAGGAAGAAAAGAUUCCAGGAGUCCCCCAGCAGAAUUCUCAUCUAUCUCAUUGGCCAGAACUGGGCUAUGUCCUCCUCCCCUAAAAUAAAGUUAUAUCUACUCAAACAUUAAACAAUUAUGAUAUUUAACAGUAAAGGAGCUUAAACCAUUGUUUGUCAUAGGAGCUUAAAGCGUUUUAUUUGAAUAUGAAAGUACAAGGAUGAACCAAGGAGGGCUGGAAAAAGGUGUUUUCAGGCUGCUCUCCGUAAGAGAGCACACACAUUGCCCUUGGUGAGCGCCCCCAGUGGGAAGUUCCAAAGCUGACAAUGAGCUACAAAAAUUGUUCUCAAGCCCAGCUAGCUGUGUAUUAGACUCACAUGGAAAGAUGUAUACAACUAUCCAUUGCAUCCAAAUCCAUUGCAUCCAAAUCUCCACGAUUGGAACUUAGGAUCAGUUAUUAGGAUCAGUUAUUUUCCUUUUCAGUUCCACUUGUGAUUCCACUCUCCGGCCAGAGGUGAGAACGAGGGGUUAGGGCCAGCUGAGAGUACAGCCCAGGCUCAUUAUUCAUGGUAGUUACGUACUAUAAAGUUGUACUGAAUUAGUGAACUGAAUUAGUGAACGCUGCUCCCGGAGACAUAUGGAAUGAGAUCACACUCUGGUCACAACAUUUCUAAAACUGAUCAAUAUAUAAUCUUGUUUUGUGUGUGUGUUUCUGUUUAAAGAUACCUAAAUUAAUAUAUAUUGUUGAUUCAUUAACAUUGAACUCAGAGUUAACAGCACUAUAACUCAUACCUGAGUGAUGCUUAUCUAACACACAUUUUCUCUGUGAGACACAUCACGAUUUUCCUGUGCUUAGAAACACCAUAUAACACUUCAGGACUAUGCUCAGAGGCAUUUUAAACAGUGAAAUCACUGACAAAAAGCCCCAAAAUGCAAAAAACUGGCACUAAAUAUACCACAAAAAGGACACUUGUUUACAGUUUGAGAGCUGAGACAAGAAGGCAGAGCUUCACCUUGUUUGACCUCAGCUGGGAACAUGUGCAUCGGGCAGCUCAAAUUUUUCACUGCUCUGCACAGAUCCACCAAUGACCAAGAAAGUAUCAAAAGUAAUGAUUUGGGAGUUACAGAUUUUAGUGAGUAGGUAAAUAGUUUCCUGGUCUAACCAGGAGAAUAUGAAAAACUCGUUUUGUGUUUUGUAUACGUAUUCCUAAAUCAUUCGUAUUCAGUUUAGCUAAAGCCAUGCUAUAAAUGAACAUAUGUUUUCAGUAAUUUAUUAUGAGAGAUGUUGUAGUUUGUAACAUUCAGCUACAAAAUCCAUUGACUUGGACAUUGGCAGAUAUUUGCUUAGGACAAAUGGAACCUAUUAUGCAUCACAGAAAAUAUAUUCCUUCAUGGCAGCAAUACUGUGAACACUUCAGAAUGUCAAUCUCCAACAGAUAUUUGGAAAAAUGGAUCAUAUAUAAAUUCACCUAAAAAGGUCGUCUUGGGCGCCUGGGUGGUACACUCAGUUAAGCAUGUGCCUUCGGCUCAGAUCAUGAUCCCAGGGUCACGGGAUCGAGUCCCACAUCUGGUUCCCUGCUCAGUAGGGAGCCUGCUUCUCCCUCUCCUCCCCGCUCAUGCUUGCUCUCUCUCUCUCUCUCUCUCUCUCUCACUAUCUCUGUAUCGCUCAAAUAAAUAAAUAAAAUCUUAAAAAAUAAAAAAAUUAAAAGGUCAUCUAAUGUCUGUAAACUUGAGAGAAGAUAACAAGGGCAGAAAAUCUGAAUCUGAGUGACUUUAGAAGAAUUUUUGCUUAUCUUAUACCUAACUGUUACCUAGGCUUUUGGUAGUUCUCCAACCUGUUGUUUCAGCAAAGAGAAUGAGGGACAGAGGUAGGAAUCCCUAUAUCAUUUGAAAAACUAUCUUCCUUAUGAUAAGCAACUAGAAUUUCUUAUACUUUGUUAGGCAGUUAGUUAGACACGAGCGAGGAGGAAUUAAAGCAGGGGCUGGCCACCCCUGGGAGCCACCCCCAAGGGUUAACAGUGACACCUUCAGAGCAACCUCUAAGGCCUAACAGAACAGAAAAGGCUUAGCCACAGAGCUGGCUCAAAAGCCACAAGGGGACGUCUGAGAGCCAUGCACACAAGGGUCUCAACUUGCCCUUAAGUACCUUCAAGAUCACAACAAAACUCAUUGUAAGUCCAUAAAUAUGCAAUACGUGAAUAAAUAUAAUUAUAACCAAAGGCAUCAUGGGUAGGUGCAUGUGUAGAGGCCAAAAUGUUAAGUAACCACCAGCUGUCAAACAAAAAUGUCAAUCAAAGCUAAAUUUACAUGUACACAAAGCAGGCUUAAAAGGAUGCAGCUAGAGCUUCUGGGGCCAUUGCCGCUCUAACUCUGGCAGUGGCCCACUCUCACUCUUGAAUCAAGUGAACUAUACUUAUCAGUAGAUUAAGUAUAAGGAGUAAGCUCUGUCUCCCCAUUCUGGUCUCGGGUCUCCAAUUCUUCGGUGCAUCGGGGACAAGAAGAGAGCAACCAGGUAACACUUUUUCCUACCAUGAAGAGGGAAAUUAGGAAGAUUAUCAUGAAAUCCAAGUUUCAUACACAAUAAAGCUCCACUGGGUAGCCACUUUUAUUGCAAGUCUAUCAUACCCUUGGUGACCAAUAUUCAAACUGCAGUUCAAGGAAAUUUAAUGUGACAUAGUGAUACCUUAGAGGGGGAUGGAGAGAGGCUCAGUGGGCGAGGCUCCGGGUCCCACCCCUACCCCAAAGAGAGCAGAUCAACUUUUCUAAGUUUUAUACUUUGGGACUGAGAGGGGAGGUGCACUUGGAGGAGAAAAGCACACUGGUGGUGACAGGGAGUCUGGUGGUGAUGCCUGGAAACAGUACAUGAAGAUCUGCUUGUACCAUCAACCACAGUAAGGGCUUUCCUCUGGCCCAAGGAAUCAAGUUGCAGUAGAAGUGUUUUAAGAUUUUAUUUAUUUAUUUAUUUGAGAGAGAGAGAGAGAGAACAUGGAGGGAGGAGCAGAGGGAGAGGGACAAGUGGACUCCACGCUGAGCCCAGAGCCCAAUGCAGGGCUCCAUCUCAGAACCCUGAGAUCAUGACCUGAACCAAAACCAACAGUCGGACAUUUAACUGACUGAGCCACCCAAGCGUCCCAGUAAAAGUAUUUUAAAUUGAUAUUACCUCAAGUCUUUCUGGCAUCCCUGAGGCAAUUUCUUCUGAGGAAGACUAGGAAAAUUAACUUUUGCCCUGAAUAAAUGCAUCAUUUUGGAUAUGACAGUGGCUAAUCUCUUAACACCGCAGGGCCCUGAUUAAAUAAAAAAAAAAAUUGUCAUGACAAAAAAAGUCCAUAUUUUUCCAUAUAUUUGGAAAAGCAUUUGAAAAUCUCUGUGCUGAAAUAUCAGAUCAUGAUGUAUAAAGAAUUCUUUAAAAAUAGACAAAUAUUUUACCAGAGCCUUCUUAAACUGUUUCCCAACAAGUAAAAAACACGAAUGCAGGCUGGGCAGCUGCCUUUACCCCAACAAUUUUUUGUAGGACCAAAUAUUAGCAGAGUUGGGCAAGUUCUGGAAAUAGUACACCAUAUUGUUGACCGAGGGAAAGGGACUUCUAUACUUGUUGUAAAUGAGAGAAUGCUUGCGUAAAGUCAGUAAAUGAAUAAAUGACCGAUUUACUCAGGCUGCAAAUUAUACCACAUUUUAAAAAGUAAAAUGAUGCUGAAAUUUAUAAUUAUAUAUAUAAUUUGUAAUUAUUAUUAAAUUUUUAAAAAUAUUUUAAAAAUGCUUUUGUAAAGUAUUUCUUGAUUACUGCUAAAAUAAUUUAAUCUUUUCUCCUCUAAAUUCCUAAUUAGAAUGUGCAUUUGCCUGCCUGUAACACAUACCUGUGUUGAGGGUACACAGCCUAAGGGGAGCUUACACAGCCCUUCCCAACCUUUAGAACUGAUACAAAAUUUUGGAACUUAUUUAGUUCAGUUGGCUUUCAGUGUGUUGGUUCUUUCUCCCUCAAAUGCAGUGAAAACUUCAAAAGGGACAUAUUGUACUAUGUGAGAAUUGUUUUUUUUAAAUAUAGAGUGGUCCAAAUUAUUUUAUUACUACCAAUGAUCUACUUAAAAAUAUUUUCAAGAUGAAGGAUUUAUUAUUUUAGUAGAUGGGUAAAGGUAAAUAAGGUUGCAAGCAUGGAUUGUGAGUAAUAUUUGAUUUAAUACUUUUUAGAAAUGUUUUGUUUCUCAGGAAUAGACUGGUUAUGUGCACAUAAAUGUGCCGUAUGCUGAUAAGGAAUUAAGAAUAAUAUUAACAUUUACUAUUUGUUGAAUACCAGGAUGAAUUGUAGAGAAAACCUGAGCUUCUUCACAAAAUGAAUUCCAAAAGCUGACCCAGGUUCUCUGGGAACAGCCAGGAACUGCCUGUGGCUCAUCAUGUUCCCUGGAACUUUGAUGACAAAGUGACUCCUGUGAGGGGCCAGCACACACAAAGCAGCGCAGGCUGAGCCUAGACGGUCAGCCCUGUGUCGCGCCUCUCAGGAAGGCACUCAGAAAGGGGAAGCCCUCCCUUGCUCCUUCCUCAGGCGGUUGUGCGCUACCUGCCUAUCAUUGUGUUGCCUCUGCUGCCCUCUUGUGGGGAUUUUACUAUCGAAUAGUAAGUAACUGUCAGAACUGAUUUGGCUGAUGUCAAGUAAGUACAAUUGCAACUAUGAACAAUAUAGAUUUUUGACAGAUAACAGAAAAGGUAGGUAAUCUGUAUUUCCCAUGGGAAGAUAAAACCAUGGCUAUAAUUUAGUAAAAACUUAAAGUAUUAUAUUUUACAAAAGCCAAGAAAAACAUCGAGGGCUCAUUGCCCUAGUAGGGAAUAUCCCCAUUUAACAAAGGAGAAACCAAGAUUCAUAGAAGUUCUAUUACAUUGCCCAGUGUCACACAGCCAGCAGAUGAGCUUGGAGUCAAUUAUAAAUCUCCAAAAUACUUAUUGCACAGUUCCUUCAAGAGUUAGCAUAGACAAUAAUGGCUAGAACCAACUGUUUUAACAUGUUCAUUUUCUUAUUUUUCCAGUAUGGUGAGGCCAACAAAUCAGAGAUGAUUGCCAUUGAUAAAGUAGUUUAUUACAAUUUCUAAGAGGAGGGGGCACACCACAGCAUGCAGGAUCCCAUAGAGAAACACCAGAAGGCAGCAGGACCAAGGGGAAAGCAUGGGCAGAGCCUUUAUUGUGGUUUCUAUGGGAAAGGCAAGGCAAGGGAGGGUAAGCAGAGUUAGAAUGGACUAGUUUGAAUAAUUUUAGAGGGCUCUAGGGCAUAGAGGUUAUCCCCAACUGCCUGUAUUUGGCCCUGGGGAGAUUAGUGUGGAGGAACACUGUCUUUUGGGGUGGAAGAGCCAGAGAGAGGAGGUAGUUUACAGCAGGAGCAGUAGAUUGCCUAGUUUACAUAUGAAAGGUGAGUCAUUUGUUAUCUCCGAGAAUUGGCUAGUCCUGGGAGGGCCAGUUUCUCUGUAGUCAGAGAGGCCCUAGAUGCCAGAGCAUCAAGAAGAGAGAAAAUAAGAAAAUAAAGUAAAUAUACCAAUUAACACAUUCUCUUGAACUCAGAAUGUGUGUGUGAAUGAAUGAAAUCAGUAGUAAUAAAGAUAAAUCAUCCUAACUCUGACAUUGAUAUUAAUUUAUUAUCUGUAUGAUGUGAUUAGCUGAUAGUUUUAUAUAUAUGUUACCAAAUAUCAAUCAAGAAGAAAUGUCAAAAUUGAUCUAAAUAUCAGCUGGGGUUUUUUUUUUUCAUUAUUGGAAACUAUAACAGGGUCAGAAGCUUCAAGAUAUAUGUUUUCCUGAAAGGUUGAGAUCAUAAUUACUUAUUUCAAAUUUAUACUGAAAAAGAUCUAUUUUAGGCACAUGCUUUUCCAGCAGAAAUGAGUUUUGUUUCCUUCUAAACAGCUUUUAUUUUGUAUGCAUAUUUAUUUAAGAAAAUGUGCAGAAAGGUAUUUUGUAUCGGAAUUUGAAUUUAAAGAACCAUUUUCUUACCCAUCUACCUAGAUAUUUACUCUCUGUGUCCCCAUUCAGCCCUUUUGGUAACUUCUCUUCAUUUAAUUAUGCUUUCUGAUAUCACUAACUACCAUUUUCAACAAUUUAUGAGCAAACCAUUGUGUAAAGCUUCUGUUGCUAGGUUACAUUCUCCUUUACUGGAAUCAUGGUGGCUGAAUAAAAACCUAGGUUCUUGUUCUCUCUCUCUCUGCCCCCCACCGUCCCUCCCAACACUUCUAUAUAGCCUAUUUGUUUAAUCAACUCUUUGGAUUUAAUUCGCCAUUCAAUAUAAUUAUUCUAUAAAUAUUUACUGUAUGCAGUUUACCUGCAUUUUUGUCAUACCUUACAUAAAAAUUAAAUGGGUUGAGUCUCUAAUUGAAAAGUUGUUGGGGCACCUGGAUGGCUCAGUCGGUUAAGCGUCUGCCUUCAGCUCAGGUCAUGAUCCCGGGGUCCUGGGAUGGAACCCCGCGUUGGGCUCCCUGCUCAGCGGGGGAGCCUGCUUCUCCCUCUCCCUCUGCCUGCCGCUCCCCCUGCUUGUACUAGCUCACGCUCUCUCUCUCAAAUAAAUAAAAUCUUUAAAAAAAGAAAAAGAAAAAAGAGUUGUUAAGUUUUGGCAGGAUUGUAAGUGUAAAUUGUGGGAUUUCUUUUUCUUCAAUGUAUAUGAUAUUUCCCACUUGCUCCUAAAGAUCCAUGCUCUCUCCCCUCUCCUUUCCACUGUGGCCUGGGACACAUUCAUGAACAUUCUUUCCCUCUGGCUUCUGACUGAGAUCAGCCAGUGGAAGCACUGACAGGAGAUCAGAGGCAGGGAAAAGAGUGAGGUUAUAGUAUUUGCUCCCUCAGCUCCCUUCUGUGCAGUUCAUCAUCGCGUAUCCCUCUACUAAAGGUCAUGUGUCAGAUGACCCUCUCCAUACAGUUACUGUCUGUAGGUUUCAACACUGCUUCUUUGCCUUGCCCUCUCAUCCUAAGGGCAGUAAUGGAUCCUCCUUGUAGCUUGCACUGAGAUGCUAUAUCACUCUUUAUUGCUGCCUGUUAACUACGUUAACACCUUUGUAAAUGGUGACUUUUAUUAGAGUUCCUCAAUUACUAUGUUUGAGUGUGCCAUCUGCUGUUUUCUGGUGGAUAUGGCAGCAACUCAGUUUUUUGGAUAAAGGUUGGAGAGCAAAGCAAGUGUCCGAGGUAGGUUAAAUAGAGCAGAUCUUGGAUGGGGCAUUAACUGGGCUCCUUACAUCCACCCAGUUUGUGCCUGGCACCAACGCCGAUCAUGGGUCCUUAUUUAUAUUAGUAUAUAUUAUAAUUCCAAUCCUCAGGGACCGUACAAGGAGAAUACCAAACUUUUUUCUUUUUAUUCAGUUCAGUUUUUAAUUUAGUAUAGCUCAAGCAAUAAUAAUGUGCUAUAUAGCUUAAUUCUUGCUUUGAGCAACUUCAAAAUCUCUAAGCAUGGGACUUCAUUCAUUAUUUAUUCACUCAUUCAAAACUAUGUGAACACUGUAGGUUGUCAUUUUUCAAACAUGAAUUAAUCAGGUCAUGUUUUGUUUUAAAAAUAUUUUGCAACUGUUUUGAUGUGUGUCUACCUCCACAAUACAACUUAUUAUUAUCUUAGUUUCCUCUUAAAAUAUAAUUGGGGCUACUAAUGUCACAAGAUUUGGGGGAAGCUCAAAUAUGAUAAUGUGCAAAAUAGCUCUGAAAAGCAUCAUGUGCUAUAUAAAUAAAUAGAUUUUAAUUUUUAAAAUUUCUAUUACCAGGUCUUAUUCCUAUCAAUAGUUUUACAUUGAUGAGGGAUAGGGGCAAUCUUAUCUUCAUACAUAUGCAAAACACCUAAGGAUUAGUGUAGAAAUGGGAUGAUCUCAGCUUUUAGCCAGUCCAUAAUCUGUUUAAGCACUGGGCCACUUUUAUUUUUAUAUUUUUUUAAAGUAGGUUUUUAAGCAGCGUCCAUGUGUUCCGUUCUGCACUUCAUUUAUCUAUUAUUUUUUAGAGAGGGAGGUGGAGGGAGGGGCAGAGAGAGAGAGAGAGAGAAUCUUAAGCAGGUUCCAUGCCCAGCAUUGAGCACGACCACGGGCUUGAUCUUACAACCCUGGGUUCGUGACCUGAGCCGAAAUCAAGAGUCGAUGGUUUAACUGACUGAGCCACCCAGGCGCCCCCACUUUUAUGUUUCUGAUUAAAGUAUUUUUGGUUGUAACAGGACCACUGUAGCUUAAUUCACAUUGUAUGUGAGCAAGUUACUAACGAAAUGGAUAGCUAAAGUAAGUUUUCAGUCAACAUUACUUCAUUUUUAUCUUUCUAGAAAGUCAGUUUUGUGAGUGUAUGAUCCCAUGUUAUUAAUAUGGAGUCCAACUGAUAUUCACAAGGAUGAAACCUGGAUUUAACAUUGCCUGAAUAAUAAAUUAUUUUAUGGAGGCUAUUAAUCAGUGUUGCAGUUUUUACUGAGCAUUUGUUGUGGACAUAUAGUGUGGUCAACAUUUUAUAUAUAUACAGAAUUUCUAAGGAAGUUUGCAUUGAAUCCAAAUUGCUUAAUAGGGCUUAAUGAUCCAAGUGAGGAAGCAUAUAUUCAGAAACUACCAUUCUUCACCUCUCUGAAGAGCCCUGUUGACACUUUUUGUAUAUGCAUUAUUGUUUUUUAAAUUGCUUUUGAGUUUGUGCUUCUGCCGAGAGAGUACUUAAUAUCACCAGAAUUAGAAACCAAAAAACUGUGUUGUUGAAAGCUUAGCUGAAUAAGGUCAGUUUGUUAAGUGGCUGGUCUCAGUAAUAAAUGGCAAAUAAUAUUUACUUCUGUCUUAUUUGUGAAGCUUAUUACUUUUCUAUGUCCUCACUAGUGGUCAUUAACCCUUAGGCAUUUGCAACAGUUUCAGACUUAUAAUAAAAUUAUUACUGGAUAGCUUCAUUUUAUACUGUCAAGUUUUUAUGCCUUAUACAAAUAACACGUAUAGAGCCUUCAUUAUUCCGUAAAACACAUUAUUGCAUAGAGACACAAUAAUUUCUGGAAAAGGUAUGAUAAUUAUUGCAUGUAUAUCAAUCAAAACCAUGGCAUGAAAUGAAUAUGAAUACAUUUUAGCAUAAAAUAGAUAAAUUCUAGAGCAGAUCCAAGGUGACGACACAACAGUGGAUGUGAUAACUGUCUCCUCAUCCUCACCUUUCAGAUUUUGUGUGCUAUAGAUUGAACUGUGUCCCCCUAAAAUUUAUUUGUUGAAGCACUAACCCCCAGUGUGAUGGUAUUUGGAGAUAGGAGUCAUUGGAUGGUAAUUAGGUUUAGGCGAGGUUAGGAAGGUGUGACCCUCAUUAUGGCAUUAAUAUCCUUAUAAGAAGAGACAACAGAGAACUUGCUUCCUCUGUCUCUCCACCCAUGUACUCGGAGGACACAGCAAGAAUGAGGAGUCAUCCUAGGGAUACAGCCUUGAGCCAUCAAAAUGUGUUAGUGUUUGUUCAACUCUUUAUAGGCCAGGAUUAAGGCCUAGUCAAGAAGAGGGCUCAGAAGAACCUGGCUAGAGUUUGGUCAAGGAGAGAGUAUUUGUCACCAUGUCAUUGAAGGGCAAAUCUAAAACAUCAGUAAAUCUUGAGGGCUAUCUCCUAAAAACAGAAAAUAAUUUCACUAUUCUCACCGUCUCAACUGUUAUACCCUGGUGAACACCACCAUCUCUAAAUUACCAACAGAUUGCUAUCAGGUCUUCUUGCUUCUAUGCUAACCCCCUUCAGUCUAUUGUCAACACAGAUGAAAGAGUGAUCUUUUACAAAUUAAGUCAUAUUAUGUACGACUAAAGCUCCAAACCCUCAGUGGCUUCUAAUCUCACCCAGAAUAUAAAGUCUUUACGAUGGCCAGUAAAGGCCUAGGGUGAUCUGCCCCAAUGUCCCUGCUCUGUAAGCACUCUUGGAUUUUCCCUCUGGUUCAAUCCAUGCCAGACUUACUGGCCUUCUUAUUGUUCUCUAAACAGGUCAGGAGGUUUCUGCCUUCAAAUUCUGCCUGGAACAGUCUUUCUACAUGUCCAACUUACUCAUGCCAAGUCUUUGCUUAAACCUCACUUUCUUUUUUCCUUCCUUCCUUCCUUCCUUCCUUCCUUCCUUCCUUCCUUCCUUCCUUCCUUUUUUUUUUUUUUAGCAGCAUAACCCUCCCUUUCUUAUUGAGGCUACUUGAACAUCUCAUUUUGUACUGCAACCUUGCUCUGUCACCGUUCCAGGCUUGCAGCGUCCUGGGCUCAUGGAGUCACAGAAUGAAGCUCAUGGACACCAAAGGGUGAAGUGAUAGUUUAUUAAGUGAAGGUGAGAACAGAAAGAAAGCUCUCUAGAGUGAGAGGAAUCCCCCCGUGGUCACCAAAUGAUGUAGUUUUGGAAUGUUGGUGAGGUCCAGAGCUGACGGCCAAGAAAGAAUUCUUGAGA